CGCGGCCUAUCAGCUUGUUGGUGAGGUAAUGGCUCACCAAGGCGACGACGGGUAGCCGGCCUGAGAGGGUGACCGGCCACACUGGGACUGAGACACGGCCCAGACUCCUACGGGAGGCAGCAGUGGGGAAUAUUGCACAAUGGGCGCAAGCCUGAUGCAGCAACGCCGCGUGGGGGACGACGGCCUUCGGGUUGUAAACCUCUUUUGGCAGGGAAGAAGCGAAAGUGACGGUACCUGCAGAAAAAGCACCGGCUAACUACGUGCCAGCAGCCGCGGUAAUACGUAGGGUGCAAGCGUUGUCCGGAAUUAUUGGGCGUAAAGAGCUCGUAGGCGGUUUGUCGCGUCUGCUGUGAAAAUCCGAGGCUCAACCUCGGACCUGCAGUGGGUACGGGCAAACUAGAGUGCGGUAGGGGAGAUUGGAAUUCCUGGUGUAGCGGUGGAAUGCGCAGAUAUCAGGAGGAACACCGAUGGCGAAGGCAGAUCUCUGGGCCGUAACUGACGCUGAGGAGCGAAAGCGUGGGGAGCGAACAGGAUUAGAUACCCUGGUAGUCCACGCCGUAAACGGUGGGAACUAGAUGUGGGGUCCGUUCCACGGAUUCCGUGUCGCAGCUAACGCAUUAAGUUCCCCGCCUGGGGAGUACGG
rnacentral:rRNA from 1 species